rnacentral:ribozyme from 1 species
UGCCCAGCAACUCCUAUCCCUACAACCAUCCGGUACCGGCCGGAAACUAUGAGCAACCUUAGGGAAGAUCGGGUAACCAACCCCGGUGGGAACUUUGGUCGUAGGCUGACAGGGAAGG